rnacentral:rRNA from 1 species
GACGAACGCUGGCGGCGUGCCUAAUACAUGCAAGUCGAGCGGACGGAUGGGAGCUUGCUCCCAGACCGUCAGCGGCGGACGGGUGAGUAACACGUGGGCAACCUGCCUGUAAGACUGGGAUAACUCCGGGAAACCGGGGCUAAUACCGGAUAACUCUUUCCCUCCCCUGAGGGAAAGCUGAAAGAUGGCAUCUCGCUAUCACUUACAGAUGGGCCCGCGGCGCAUUAGCUAGUUGGUGAGGUAACGGCUCACCAAGGCGACGAUGCGUAGCCGACCUGAGAGGGUGAUCGGCCACACUGGGACUGAGACACGGCCCAGACUCCUACGGGAGGCAGCAGUAGGGAAUCUUCCGCAAUGGACGAAAGUCUGACGGAGCAACGCCGCGUGAGUGAUGAAGGUUUUCGGAUCGUAAAACUCUGUUGUCAGGGAAGAACAAGUACCGGAGUAACUGCCGGUACCUUGACGGUACCUGAACAGAAAGCCACGGCUAACUACGUG